GUAUGCUUUGCGCAGUAUAGGUGGGAGGCAAAGAUUAUAUAUUUGUGGAUAUAUAGGAGCCAAUAGUGAGAUACCACUCUAAGUAUACUAGGAUUCUAACUUUGAAAGCCGUUAACCGGCCAAAGAACAGUUUCAGGUGGGCAGUUUGACUGGGGCGGUCGCCUCCUAAAAAGUAACGGAGGCGUACAAAGGUUUCUUCAGACUGGUCGGAAAUCAGUCUUAGAGUAUAAAGGCAUAAAGAAGCUUGACUGCAAGACCUACAAGUCGAGCAGAGACGAAAGUCGGUCUUAGUGAUCCGACAGUUCUGAGUGGAAAGGCUGUCGCUCAACGGAUAAAAGUUACUCUAGGGAUAACAGGCUGA
rnacentral:rRNA from 1 species